GAUUAGUUCUAUUAGGUGAUGAAUAUUCGAAGUCUUCCAUGUAACUGAGCAAUAAUGUUAAAUGACCAAUUAAAGAACUAGAUGUGACUUCUUGGUAUGGUCUGGAGCAAAAACAAUACAUAAAAAGGUUGUCUCAAGGAAAGCACAUGAAGAAACUGUCCCUCUGAGAAACCCCUCUUGGAAAAGUUUCUCUGCUUUUCCUUGUUAUGACAAAGUGGUUUCCAGGAUCAGUUGCUCCAACACCUUUGCAGAGACUGAUGUGCAGUGGACUGAACUGUAGAUCCCUGGAUCUUCCCUCUUGCCUUUGAAAUUAUAUUUGGUUUCUAUGAAGACAGAGCAGGAAUUAUGCUGGACCUGUAGGCCUUUAUGACCCAACCAAUGGAUUCUUCUGGAUUGUCAUCUUGAAUGAGUUUUAGGAACUACAUCGCAACCCUGAACAACAUGAGCUACAGAGGGGGCCUAGCUGAAGCAAACCCUUUGCCAUCCAGCAGUUUGAAUUGUCCUUGUGAGCACCCAUCCUCUUCAAGACAGACUGAUUUUUCUCGUCUCUUUCUUCUAGAGCUCAGUCUGAGCCUAACAAAGUGUGAAAAAUGAUCAUAAAAAAUGGAUCUGUGGAGAGCAGAUAUACGGUUUGAGGAAGGGAGAAGGUGGUAAUGAAGAAAUCAUAAGCUACAGACCUCAAGUAGAUCUUAAGUAGAAGGUGCUAAGGAGUGAGCUACAAAGCCUUAAUGUUGACAUUACAAAAUCAAGGUGCUUAAUCCUGAAUUCUAGUGUGAACCCCGCUCUUUGUUAGUUAACUGAUCAGGCCCUCUGUCUAACAACUAUAGCCAGAAGGCUGAAAAGUGUAAGUCAGAAAAUUGCAAAUGCUGAUUUAGCACAGAGAAGUUCACAGUAAAAUUGUCUGCUAAAAUGAAGCAAAUCUGAAGAGAGAAUGAAUCAACUUGUAAAACAAUAUCCCUACUUCAGGGUGAAGCAAGGCCAUGUUCUAGAAUAACAGGUCACUCUGGUUAGCAGCUGCUACUAGUAUAUACAAAAUUAACAAGCACGAAAGUGCUGGCAUCUGUCCUUAGACCUGGAUCUGAAGUAGUAGCUUUAGAAUCUGAGUAAAUCAUUUCCCUCUCUAGUUGUUAGAUUCUGAUCUGUUCAGUCCCAAUGGUGUACCUGUGUCAGACUUUUUACCCACCAGUACAGGACGGUUUCUGUAGCUCUAUUCCCAUGGAGAAAUUCUAGUAGUGUUUUCUUCUGGUUUUAGUGUUACAGGCACAGAGAAUGGCUUCAGGAAACAUCUGUCCCCGGAGCCCUGUUCCACAGUUACCAUGGGUGCAUAAUUCACUAUGUGUUAUGAACACCUACUCUUUAUUUAUAAUCUUCAGAAGAAUAGUCAACUUAUCUAGGUUAUAAAGCUUUUGU
rnacentral:lncRNA from 7 species